rnacentral:rRNA from 1 species
UGGUGCGAGUGGCGAACGGGUGAGUAAUAUAUCGGAACCAUACCCUAGAGUGGGGGAUAACGUAGCGAAAGUUACGCUAAUACCGCAUACGAACUAAGGUUGAAAGUGGGGGAUCUUCGGACCUCAUGCUCAUGGAGUGGCCGAUAUCUGAUUAGCUAGUUGGUGAGGUAAAGGCUCACCAAGGCGACGAUCAGUAGCUGGUUUGAGAGAACGACCAGCCACACUGGAACUGAGACACGGUCCAGACUCCUACGGGAGGCAGCAGUGGGGAAUUUUGGACAAUGGGCGCAAGCCUGAUCCAGCAAUGCCGCGUGAGUGAAGAAGGCCUUCGGGUUGUAAAGCUCUUUUGUCAGGGAAGAAACGGUGAGUCCUAAUACGGCUUGCUAAUGACGGUACCUGAAGAAUAAGCACCGGCUAACUCCGUG